AGCUUUGCGUAGUGGCAGUAUCUUGGCCAAUGAGGUUUAUCCGAGGCGCGAUUAUUGAUAGUUUAAAACUUUUUCCAAUACCCCGCUGUGAUGAUUUGCAAUAUAGUCGGCAUUGGCAAUUUUUGUCAGUCUCUACGGAUA
rnacentral:snRNA from 1 species